GUUCUCUGUUACUAAUGGGCAAAGUUCAUUAUAGAUAUAAUUGUAAGAAGCAAAAUCGUUCAGUAAAGUAAGAACUUCAAACACAUCACCAUCACCAAAAUACAAAUUUUGUCAUGAAUCCAUUUGUGUCCUUUGUUUAAUAUGCACAUAGACCAAGGUGAGCGACACAGGCUCUUUAGAGCCUCUAGUUUAUAAUUAAAAGAAAACAGGCAUGUAUAUUUCAAAAAGAAACAAUAAUUUUAUGUGCCACAGUGAUAUGUAACUGUCUAUAAACUAUAACAGUCAACAAACUUUAUAUUAUACGAUUACAAAAUAAUGAGACAACAGCCAAACGGCACAGAUAUAAAACAA
rnacentral:lncRNA from 1 species